GAUGAACGCUGGCGGCGUGCCUAAUACAUGCAAGUCGAGCGAACGGACGAGAAGCUUGCUUCUCUGAUGUUAGCGGCGGACGGGGGAGUAACACGUGGAUAACCUACCUAUAAGACUGGGAUAACUUCGGGAAACCGUAGCUAAUACCGGAUAAUAUUUUGAACCGCAUGGUUCAAAAGUGAAAGACGGUCUUGCUGUCACUUAUAGAUGGAUCCGCGCUGCAUUAGCUAGUUGGUAAGGUAACGGCUUACCAAGGCAACGAUGCAUAGCCGACCUGAGAGGGUGAUCGGCCACACUGGAACUGAGACACGGUCCAGACUCCUACGGGAGGCAGCAGUAGGGAAUCUUCCGCAAUGGGCGAAAGCCUGACGGAGCAACGCCGCGUGAGUGAUGAAGGUCUUCGGAUCGUAAAACUCUGUUAUUAGGGAAGGACAUAUGUGUAAGUAACUGUGCACAUCUUGACGGUACCUAAUCAGAAAGCCACGGCUAACUACGUG
rnacentral:rRNA from 1 species